UCGCUCGUGAACGUGACGUCACAUCCGACAAAGCCAACAACAGUCAUAGAAGAGGAAGAAAGACUACUAAUGCCGAACUUCUAUGGCUUUGACAACUGCCGAGAUGAGCCAAUUUAACACCCAUGUAACAACGUGAAUAGCAAUGACGCAAUCGGUUGUUGUCCAGGUUGGACAAUGUGGAAACCAGAUUGGUUGUCGGUUUUGGGAUCUUGCUUUGAGAGAGCAUGCCCACUUCAACAAAAGUGGCUUGUAUGACGACACCAUUGGCACUUUUUUCCAUAAUGUGGACUCAAGGAAUGGAGUACAUCUGGCUGGUGGUGAAAGAAUCCAAAUGCUGAAAGCAAGAGCAGUGCUGGUGGACAUGGAGGAGGGUGUGGUCAGUGAGAUUCUGCAAGGCCCUUUGAGAGACGUGUUCGACAGCACUCAGCUCCUCACAGACGUGUCAGGUGCAGGCAACAACUGGGCAGUUGGAUAUAUGACAUAUGGGUCAACCUACAGGGAGAAAAUACUAGACAAGCUGAGAAAGGCAGCAGAACAAUGUGACUGUCUGCAGGCCUUUUUUCUUCUCCAUUCUAUGGGAGGAGGUACAGGUUCUGGGCUAGGGACCAAAGUGCUCAGCCUUCUCAAGGAUGAGUUUCCUGAGGUGUGUAGAAUUGUCACCCCUGUCUAUCCAUCCUUGGAGGACGAUGUCAUCAUAUCCCCCUACAACAGUAUCCUGGCCAUGAGAGAGCUCACAGAGAAUGCUGACUGCGUCCUGCCUGUUGAAAAUCAGGCAUUGGUUGAGAUUUUGAACAAGAUCAAACAGACAUCCCAUGGUAGACAGUCCGGUGCGAUCAUGAGUGGCGGCAUAGUCUCAAGAAAGGAUGGGCUGAUUGGGUCAGAGAGGCCUUUUGAUGCCAUGAAUAACAUUGUGGCUAAAAUGUUGCUCAACAUGACCAGUUCAGCGCGUUUUGAGGGCACUCUAAACAUGGAUCUGAAUGAAAUUACCAUGAACAUGGUUCCUUUCCCUCAAUUACACUACCUGGUGCCAAGCCUCAGUCCUCUCUACUCUUUGGCAGAUGUUAGUGCACCAACCAGAAGCCUGGAUCAAAUGUUUGCCGAUGCAUUCAGUAAAGGCCACCAGUUAAUCAAAGCCAACCCAAAGCAAGGUCUCUACCUUGCCUGUGCCCUCAUGGUCAGGGGUAAUGUUCAAGUGUCUGACCUGCGCAGGAAUAUUGAGAGGUAUAAGCCUUUGUUCCCAUUUGUGUCAUGGAACCAAGAAGGGUGGAAGACAAGUCUCUGUUCUGUGCCCCCUGUUGGUCACACUCAAUCCCUGUUAGCCUUGGCCAACACCACUGGUAUAAAGUCCACAUUUGUGGAGCUGAGAGAGCGCUUCACCAAGCUUUACAAGAAGAAGGUUCAUUCCUUGUUCAUAAUUUCUGAAUGCAUUUCUUACAUUUUGUAAAAACAUGUCUCUGGUCCAUUAGAUAUUCGUUUAGAUAAGCACAAGCAAUCUCACCACAUUUAUUUCUGCCCAGACUACCAUUUUUCUCACAUAAAAGCUGUUUUGUUGGUGCGUGGAGCCACUUUGUAUAGCAUUGCUUAGCACAUGUAAAAGAUUCCCAACACGCCUGACAUCUGGACCAGUCCAUUUGUGAUGAUGACGACUCCUGGUAUUGCCAUCUUGACAUGAAAAGUGCGUGUACAGACAAAAGCCGAAAAUGGCGUGUGAACAAACAUAUUCAGACAAUGCAACCCGUUCAUGUCGAGGCCCCUCGGACUGGCUGACUCACGUUGAUGUUAAUGGAUGGGGAAAAUGCGGAUGUUUGUUUGAGGCGACUCUGAAGUCUGAUUGAAGAACCAACCCCAUUGCUAAUACUGUAUAGUUCAAGCGACUCUAAACACCCUGAGCAGAUUAGAUAUGGAAGCACGUAGAAGCUGAAAUCUGAUUGGACAAACAAAUAUACCAUACAUUUAUACAUACCAGAAGCAGUGCAGCCCCCAAACACACUACGAAAUGAAGAUAAUAGGCUGUUGGUAAUAAAUUGAUACAAUUUCAUGCAACAAAUACUACAAUUUAAGUUGUAAAUGAAGGUCAGCGCUUCUGAUAGUUUAGACCAGCAUAGGAGGCCUUGAUGGUCCUGACGGCAAACCAGUACGUGUGAGUCAUCUCAUUUCAUGUCAUCCCGUCCCAUAUGAGUCUCCGGUUCUCAUUGCUUCCAGUAUGUGUGUAUGACAGCUGACCGAGCCCUGACGAUGUCCAUACCCUGAUCAUAUGUUCAUAACCUUACGCACCCAUCACGAUUGAACAGGGUCGUGGACUUAACAGAUCAUGCGACUGAUAGAUAGAUAGAUCCACACUGCUGGCACUACUGCUUGAAACAGACUCCAUCCCUUGUUUGCAAGCUGGUGGACAGGCACACUUACAUCAUUACCUGCAAGUAGAUGGGAUGGAGCUGAGCUUAUUCUCAGAGGCUGUCACCUCCCUCGACUCUCUGAUUGAUGAGUAUCAUAAUGUGGAGACGGGGAAAUUGAUAUCUGAUUUACCAAGAUUCAAC